GUAAAACCCUAAUCUGUCAUAAAU
rnacentral:snRNA from 1 species